rnacentral:rRNA from 1 species
GAAUUCGCCCUUAGAGUUUGAUCCUGGCUCAGGACGAACGCUGGCGGCGUGCUUAACACAUGCAAGUCGAACGGAGUGCCUCGGAAGGAGAUUUCGGUCAAUGGAUGGGGUUACUUAGUGGCGGACGGGUGAGUAACGCGUGAGGAACCUGCCUUUCAGUGGGGGACAACAGCUGGAAACGGCUGCUAAUACCGCAUAACAUAUAUUUGUCGCAUGGCAGAUAUAUCAAAGAUUUAUCGCUGAGAGAUGGCCUCGCGUCUGAUUAGCUAGUUGGUGAGGUAACGGCCCACCAAGGCGACGAUCAGUAGCCGGACUGAGAGGUUGGCCGGCCACAUUGGGACUGAGAUACGGCCCAGACUCCUACGGGAGGCAGCAGUGGGGAAUAUUGGGCAAUGGGCGCAAGCCUGACCCAGCAACGCCGCGUGAAGGAAGAAGGCUUUCGGGUUGUAAACUUCUUUUGACAGGGAAGAGCAGAAGACGGUACCUGUCGAAUAAGCCACGGCUAACUACGUGCCAGCAGCCGCGGUAAUACGUAGGUGGCAAGCGUUGUCCGGAUUUACUGGGUGUAAAGGGCGUGCAGCCGGGAGUGCAAGUCAGAUGUGAAAUCCCGCGGCCCAACCGCGGAACUGCAUUUGAAACUGUGCUUCUUGAGUACUGGAGAGGCAGACGGAAUUCCUAGUGUAGCGGUGAAAUGCGUAGAUAUUAGGAGGAACACCAGUGGCGAAGGCGGUCUGCUGGACAGCAACUGACGGUGAGGCGCGAAAGCGUGGGGAGCAAACAGGAUUAGAUACCCUGGUAGUCCACGCUGUAAACGAUGGAUACUAGGUGUGCGGGGACUGACCCCCUGCGUGCCGCAGCUAACGCAAUAAGUAUCCCACCUGGGGAGUACGAUCGCAAGGUUGAAACUUCAAAGAAAUUGACGGGGGCCGCACCAAGCGGUGGAUUAUGUGGAUUAAUUCGAUGCAACGCGAAGAACCUUAACAGGGCUUGACAUCCUACUAACGAGAUGGGGAUACGUUAGGUACCCUUCGGGGAAAGUAGAGACAGGUGGUGCAUGGUGUGUCGUCAGCUUCGUGUAGAUGAGAUGUUGAAGUUAAGUACCGCGAGCAGCGCAACCUUUCUUGUUCGUGCUAGCGCAAGAGCGGUCUAUCGAGACUGCGGCCGGCUCAACGGAGAGAGGGGGGGGGGAGGUGACAUCUUCAUGCCCCCCACCUCCUCGGGGUCGCACGCAAUCCACUGUCGCCCAUCCUAGGGAGGCAAAACCGAGAGGUGGAGCGAACCCCUAAAAGCCGUCCCAGUUCAGAUUGCAGUCUGCAACCCGACUACACGAAGUCGGAAUCGCUAGUAAUGGCGCAUCAG